AACGAACGCUGGGGGCGUGGAUAAGACAUGCAAGUCGAACGGGAGAAUUGCUAGCUUGCUAAUAAUCCUCUAGUGGCACACGGGUGAGUAACACGUGAGUAACCUGCCUCUUAGUGGGGGAUAGCCCUGGGAAACCGGGAUUAAUACCGCAUACGAUUGAAAGAUCAAAGCAGCAAUGCGCUAGGAGAUGGGCUCGCGGCCUAUUAGUUAGUUGGUGAGGUAACGGCUCACCAAGGCGAUGACGGGUAGCCGGUCUGAGAGGAUGUCCGGCCACACUGGAACUGAGACACGGUCCAGACACCUACGGGUGGCAGCAGUCGAGAAUCAUUCACAAUGGGGGCAACCCUGAUGGUGCGACGCCGCGUGGGGGAAUGAAGGUCUUCGGAUUGUAAACCCCUGUCAUGUGGGAGCAAAUUAAAAAGAUAGUACCACAAGAGGAAGAGACGGCUAACUCUGUGCCAGCAGCCGCGGUAAUACAGAGGUCUCAAGCGUUGUUCGGAAUCACUGGGCGUAAAGCGUGCGUAGGCUGUUUCGUAAGUCGUGUGUGAAAGGCAGGGGCUCAACCCCUGGAUUGCACAUGAUACUGCGAGACUAGAGUAAUGGAGGGGGAACCGGAAUUCUCGGUGUAGCAGUGAAAUGCGUAGAUAUCGAGAGGAACACUCGUGGCGAAGGCGGGUUCCUGGACAUUAACUGACGCUGAGGCACGAAGGCCAGGGGAGCGAAAGGGAUUAGAUACCCCUGUAGUCCUGGCAGUAAACGGUGCACGCUUGGUGUGCGGGGAAUCGACCCCCUGCGUGCCGGAGCUAACGCGUUAAGCGUGCCGCCUGGGGAGUACGGUCGCAAGAUUAAAACUCAAAGAAAUUGACGGGGACCCGCACAAGCGGUGGAGUAUGUGGCUUAAUUCGAUGCAACGCGAAGAACCUUACCUGGGCUUGACAUGUAAUGAACAACAUGUGAAAGCAUGCGACUCUUCGGAGGCGUUACACAGGUGCUGCAUGGCCGUCGUCAGCUCGUGUCGUGAGAUGUUUGGUUAAGUCCAGCAACGAGCGCAACCCCUGUUGCCAGUUACCAUCGAGUAAUGUCGGGGACUCUGGCGAGACUGCCCAGAUCAACUGGGAGGAAGGUGGGGACGACGUCAGGUCAGUAUGGCCCUUAUGCCCAGGGCUGCACACGUACUACAAUGCCCAGUACAGAGGGGGCCGAAGCCGCGAGGCGGAGGAAAUCCUGAAAACUGGGCCCAGUUCGGACUGUAGGCUGCAACCCGCCUACACGAAGCCGGAAUCGCUAGUAAUGGCGCAUCAGCUACGGCGCCGUGAAUACGUUCCCGGGUCU
rnacentral:rRNA from 1 species